CUUAAGGAUGGGUAAGCAUUAUAGGAAGUGUAGUUAAUAAACCUCUGGGAUUCAAGAUUAGCCAUCACUGAGUUAGAGUGGUAAAUACACUGUGUUCUCAUACCCAUUGAAUAAAUAGUUUGCUUAUUCUGUACAAUGUCUGCCCCUGUAGUCUUAUAUUGAUGUGUUAUCUAUAAAAUAAAAUCUGCUAGAAUAUCCUAUAUGCAUUUAUAUAUCGAUUU